UUUUUUUUUUUUUUUUUUUUUUAGAAAUAUAAGUUGGUUUGGUUUUUAAAUCAUGUCAAUUUGUAAUUAUUUCGUGUCUCAACACCGAAGUCAAUGCAUGGGAUUUCUUGAAGAAGAAUGUGACGUGGAGGACAUUAGAUGACUCUACUAUGGCAAGGGGUAAGGGGAAAGGUAAGCUUCCUGCAUAUUAUUAUGAUUAUGAUGAUCAUUAACUAAUAUAUGUCAUUAUGGUGCACUAGGAUCCCAUUAGGGUGGCUGGGCCCAGUGCGUUUUCCUACUCGGUCUAGCAUGUAAUGAUUCCAUGUAACCAGAUUCUUGAGAAAGGACAGGUUACGUAAACAUUUACUGAUGUGGAGUAACUAUACUAUUUGUACUCUGAUAUGCAGGAAGGAAAGUGUUGAUUAACACAGAAGAAAAAAAAAAGCGAAAUUAGCUGAUUGCAUGCUCAUAAGUGCAAGCUGUCAUUGAACUGCUUUUAAAAUAGACACAGCUGGGUGUUUGUGUUGAAAAAUUUCUUGUGUUUUUGCUAAUACUGAAAUAAGCAUGAUUUUGUAUACCAAACAUUUUCAGAUCAUUAAAAUUUGUAAUCUGUGCUGGUUUUAAACACAAAGAAAAGAAACAGAUUCACUUCGCUGUAAAAUUUGCUGAUAUUAUAUUAACUCAAUCAGGUCUGUACAAAUGGUGUAGUAUGCCUUAUCAAAUCUCUUUGAUCCAUUUAAUACACAAAGUGCCAAACGUGUGUAUUGUUUGUUAACAUUGAACAUUUUAUUCAAAUCCCAGCUCUGUAGCAAACUGGAGGAGUUCUUGUUUAAUGUAACACUGACAUUGCUUGUUGAAAUUUUAAUGCCUUGAGGUGUUUCUUAGGUCAAAGCUGAGUUACUUUGUUUUGUGAUCAGGGAUGAAAACGUAACAGGAAAGAAAAUAGAACUUUCAUCUUUUUGCGUUUUUGAGCAAAAGGCUAAAACACAAAGAAGCACACUUUAAAAACAUCUGAUGAUCUAGAUCCAAUAUUCGGUCAUUUGUCAUGGGUGCAGAAUAAAGGUCUGUGCACAAACUUAAGAUUUAUAUUUUUUUUAAUGCCAUGGAUAUACAGUUCUACCAAAAAAGGAAAUGUUUUGUCCAAUAUGUAGUACAUAUCUUUCUAGGUCCAUGAAGAUUAAUUCACUGUUUACAAGACAGAAAAGGAUAUGUAAGAGAAACCACGUCAAUUAUUAUUUCUGCUGGACUUUAACUUUUGAGUUUUUGGUUUUGUUUUGUAUUUUUUUUUCCCUUUCCUUCGGCAGAAAAUUCACCGUUUAUAAAACUGGAGAUAUUUACUUUGGAAAUAGGAGAGUCUUGCUCUAACGCCAGGUCCUCCUGGAGCUCUGCCCUGACCACGACUCCCCUUCACUUUGGUGGUACCUCUUUAUGCGUCGGGGUACUGCAGUGAGCUGCAGGCUUGACCCCUCAAACCUCAGGUCUGGCUAAACUCUAACUCUCUUAAGAUAAGUCCGUCAUGGCAGCAUUUUCUAACGGGGAAGGUUUUGCGGGAUGUCUGGAGAAGAAGCUUGUGCUUGGAACGGAGUCACACGGCCCCAACCGUGUGAAACACGGGUGGGUGUGCAGAGGGGAGCCGGCUCGCUGCAGGGUGUGGAUGCUCCCUCACCUGUGCGCUCACCGGCGCUGCGGAUCUGUCGAACCGAGCGGCGGGGAUGGGCUGAGAGAAUCCAACUCCGGGGUCAGGAGGGGGGUGAAUAGCUGAGCGAAAACGUCCUGGCUGAAGUGCCAUUUAACAACGGUAUCCGUACAACUCUUGGGUAUAACUCAGAGGGAUAGUGUUUCGGCUGCACUUUUUUUUUUUUUUUUAAUUCUUAUUUUAUUUUUAAAUUAAAGGCCAAAGGAAAAACAGACCCUCUCAAUUGUACACUCAGUGGAUACAGCGUACUGCCUUUGCGCGUCCCCCUUCCCCCCGCGCCCCAGCUCCAGCGUUCAAUCCCCCUUCACAUGGGUAUAGUGGCUCUGUACUCUCGGGCUCUUUCAAGGGGUUAAGCUGCUAAAAUGUACUGACAGCUUAAGAAAUGAAUGAGGUUUUUUUCAGCCAUGAAGAAAGGGUAUUUAAUAACCACGCUUCGAUGGCAUUAUGCUUCUAGGAAACGAGUUGGGACACUUUGGUUUAACAAUCAGUAAUAUCACAUUCCUGACAGUAAAUGCCUCGAUGUACGCAUAUAUAAUUCUAUUCCCACUUGACUAUAAGCUUGCCUUAUUUAUUCCAGGUUACCUGGGCAAUUAAGGUAAGGGCUGCUCAGCAGACACUGAUACCCUGCUGCUAAGGCAUGGCGAAUGGGGACGGAGCAGCACGCUAACAAAGAGAAAGAGGUAGUCAAACAUUUUGAAGAGGGGUGAAUAGGACUGAAGGUGGAUGGAUAGAUGAAUGGAGGCAAAGAGGGAGAGGAAGAAACAUUCAAUGGUCCACAUUUCUAUCUGCAUUUGUAGAUUUAAGUUUAGGUGUCUGCCUCUAGCCAACUUCCAGUUAAUCCUCAGCAGUUUCUAGUGAUUAGAAGUUAGUCUGUUUAGCAUGCUGUAUCCUUCUUCCAUGGGUUUUAGUUACAAGUUACACGAUUAGGAUUGCGAGAACAGUAGUGAACUAAACUUCCCAGUAAGAGGUCUUCACACCAGGGAAGUGUUACUUUGCUGCAGCAGCCCUGCCUCGUCAGUCAUUAGGAAGCUGCAGGUUGUCAGAGGCUUCUCUUGCGCGCACACAAGCGCAGACACACACACACGCACACACACAAAACCACAGCACUAAAACUAAAUUAAGAAGCCGAUGAUUAAGACAAGCGUCUACGAGGCCUGUCAUUUCAGCAUCCUUCCAUCAUAACAUUGUGGCACCGAGAAAUUUGCUUGAAAACCCUGGAAAAAAUUGUCUAUGGGAGAGCCUCAUGUUUGAGGCUGUUAAUAUCAAAUAUAGACUGGGAACUGCCUCGGAUGCAAGAUAGUAUUCCACAGGGGAAAGGAGCACUGCAGAGACCUUGGAGCUAUCCGCACACUCCCGAAAUUCUGGAUUGACUUGGUCGUCCCUGAAAAUGCAGAACAGCCCAUGAGAUCUUUCCACCAAGCGUGUGGAAGAUGCUUGCAAAAGAGCCCUGUAAACAAAACAACUUGAUUAAAGGCAGUUUGUGCAACAAUUGUGUCAUGGAAUACAGAACAUUUCUUUGUCUUUCAGUUCUUUCGGAUAGUUCAAUAAAUAUCAGCUAUACCCAGCAUA